UCUCCGUAGGUGAACCUGCGGAGGGAUCAUUACCAGAGAUGGUGGGCCCCCGCGCCCCCGUCCCCAACCCUUUGUUGACUAACCAUUUUGCCUCGGGGGCAGAGCGUCCGCCGCCCCCGGUGGACCAACCAACCCUGUCUCUGUACGUCGGAGUCUUUUGAUGAAUGAAUGAAAACUUUUAACAACGGAUCUCUUGGUUCUGGCAUCGAUGAAGAACGCAGC
rnacentral:misc_RNA from 1 species